rnacentral:rRNA from 1 species
CCUACGGGCGGCAGCAGUGAGGAAUAUUGGUCAAUGGCCGUAAGGCUGAACCAGCCAAGUAGCGUGAAGGAAGACGGAUCUAUGGUUUGUAAACUUCUUUUAUAAGGGAAUAAAGUUAUCCACGUGUGGAUUUUUGCAUGUACCCUAUGAAUAAGCAUCGGCUAACUCCGUGCCAGCAGCCGCGGUAAUACGGAGGAUGUGAGCGUUAUCCGGAUUUAUUGGGUUUAAAGGGAGCGUAGGUUGUUUUUUAAGUCAGCUGUGAAAGUUUGUGGCUCAACCAUAAAAUUGCCGUUGAUACUGGAAGACUUGAGUGUGGUUGAGGUAGGCGGAAUGCGUGGUGUAGCGGUGAAAUGCAUAGAUAUCACGCAGAACUCCGAUUGCGAAGGCAGCUUACUAAGCCAUAACUGACACUGAUGCACGAAAGCGUGGGUAUCAAACAGGAUUAGAUACCCUUGUAGUC